GGGGAAUUUUGGACAAUGGGGGCAACCCUGAUCCAGCCAUGCCGCGUGAGUGAUGAAGGCCCUCGGGUCGUAAAGCUCUGUCGGGAGGGAAGAAAUGAUUUAGGGUUAAUACCCCUAGACCUUGACGGUACCUCCGAAGGAAGCACCGGCUAACUCCGUGCCAGCAGCCGCGGUAAUACGGAGGGUGCAAGCGUUGUUCGGAAUUAUUGGGCGUAAAGCGCGUGUAGGCGGUUUCUUAAGUCUGAUGUGAAAGCCCCGGGCUCAACCUGGGAAGUGCAUUGGAAACUGGGGGACUUGAGUACGGGAGAGGGUAGUGGAAUUCCUAGUGUAGGAGUGAAAUCCGUAGAUAUUAGGAGGAACACCGGUGGCGAAGGCGGCUACCUGGACCGAUACUGACGCUGAGACGCGAAAGCGUGGGGAGCAAAC
rnacentral:rRNA from 1 species